rnacentral:rRNA from 1 species
CCCGGGAAAACUCAACAAUAAGCGGAGGAAAAGAAACCAACAGGGAUUGCUCUAGUAACGGCGAGUGAAGCAGCAAUAGCUCAAAUUUGAAAUCUGGCGUCUUCGACGUCCGAGUUGUAAUUUGUAGAGGAUGCUUCUGAGUGGCCACCGACCUAAGUUCCUUGGAACAGGACGUCAUAGAGGGUGAGAAUCCCGUAUGCGGUCGGAAAGGCGCUCUAUACGUAGCUCCUUCGACGAGUCGAGUUGUUUGGGAAUGCAGCUCUAAAUGGGAGGUAAAUUUCUUCUAAAGCUAAAUAUUGGCCAGAGACCGAUAGCGCACAAGUAGAGUGAUCGAAAGAUGAAAAGCACUUUGGAAAGAGAGUUAAAAAGCACGUGAAAUUGUUAAAAGGGAAGGGAUUGCAACCAGACUUGCUCGCGGUGUUCCGCCGGUCUUCUGACCGGUCUACUCGCCGCGUUGCAGGCCAGCAUCGUCUGGUGCCGCUGGAUAAGACUUGAGGAAUGUAGCUCCCUCGGGAGUGUUAUAGCCUCUUGUGAUGCAGCGAGCGCCGGGCGAGGUCCGCGCUUCGGCUAGGAUGCUGGCGUAAUGGUCGUAAUCCGCCCGUCUUGAAACACGGACCAAGGAGUCUAACAUCUAUGCGAGUGUUCGGGUGUCAAACCCCUACGCGUAAUGAAAGUGAACGGAGGUGAGAACCGCAAGGUGCAUCAUCGACCGAUCCUGAUGUCUUCGGAUGGAUUUGAGUAAGAGCAUAGCUGUUGGGACCCGAAAGAUGGUGAACUAUGCCUGAAUAGGGUGAAGCCAGAGGAAACUCUGGUGGAGGCUCGCAGCGGUUCUGACGUGCAAAUCGAUCGUCAAAUUUGGGUAUAGGGGCGAAAGACUAAUCGAUCCCAUGCUAC